GGAGGGGAAAGUGAUCUCUGACCGCGUGCCUGUUGAAGAAUGAGCCGGCGACUCAUAGGCAGUGGCUUGGUUAAGGGAACGGAACCCACCGGAGCCGUAGCGAAAGCGAGUCUUAAUAGGGCGAUUGUCACUGCUUAUGGACCCGAACCUGGGCGAUCUAUCCAUGACCAGGAUGAAGCUUGGAUGAAACUAAGCAGAGGUCCGAACCGACUGAUGUUGAAGAAUCAGCGGAUGAGUUGUGGUUAGGGGUGAAAUGCCACUCGAACCCAGAGCUAGCUGGUUCUCCCCGAAAUGCGU
rnacentral:ncRNA from 1 species